UACGGGGGGGGCAAGCGUUGUUCGGAAUUACUGGGCGUAAAGGGCGCGUAGGCGGCCUGCUAAGUCGGACGUGAAAUCCCUCGGCUUAACCGGGGAACGGCGUCCGAUACUGGAUGGCUUGAGUUUGGGAGAGGGAUGCGGAAUUCCAGGUGUAGCGGUGAAAUGCGUAGAUAUUCGCAAGAACACCAGUGGCGAAGGCGGCUCACUGGCCCGGUACUGACGCUGAGGCACGAAAGCGUGGGGAGCAAACAGG
rnacentral:rRNA from 1 species